rnacentral:tRNA from 1 species
GGUUGUGGCUCAGUGAUAGAGCACUUGCCUAGCACAUGCAAGGUCCUGGGUUCGAUCCUCAGCACCA